UACGUAGGAAGCGAGCGUUGUCCGGAGUUACUGGGCGUAAAGGGUGCGCAGGUGGCCGUGCGCGUGGGGAGUGAAAUCGCCUGGCUUAACUGGGCGGGGGCUUUCCAGACGGCGCGGCUUGAGCCACAGAGGGGGGCGUGGAAUUCCGGGUGGAGCGGUGAAAUGCGUAGAGAUCGGAAGGAACGCCCGUGGCGAAAGCGAGGUCCUGGACGCCUACUGACGCUGAGACGCGAAAGCCAGGGGAGCGAACGGG
rnacentral:rRNA from 1 species